rnacentral:lncRNA from 1 species
UUGAUAUAUAUUGUCCAAGUUCAUUAUGUGACAGAUUAUGUGAUUGCUGCUCUGACAGGGAGUGUUGUUGCAUGUAUUGAGAUAAUCCUGACAGGUCACUAUAGGAAAAGUGAUCGUUUUGUGCAUGUAUCAUGCCAAAAUUUUCAAGAUUUAUUGAUGAUUGAUAGGUAGUAGGGUUCUACGCGGUGGCUGGUGGCCUUAUGCUUACCCGCAC